UGCUUGCUUGGGCGGCACAUACAUAAAACUGGAAUGAUACAGAAGAUUAGUGUGGCCCCUGAACAAGAACAACAUACAAAUUCAUGAAAUACUGCAAAUAUUU